AUUGAACGCUGGCGGCAUGCUCUACACAUGCAAGUCGAACGGUAACAGGCCGCCAGGUGCUGACGAGUGGCGCACGGGUGCGUAAUGCAUCGGAACGUGCCCAGUCGUGGGGGAAAACUACUCGAAAGAGUAGCCAAUACCGCAUACGAUCUAUGGAUGUAAGCGGGGGACUGUAAGGCCUCGCGCGAUUGGAGCGGCCGCUGUCAGAUUAGGUAGUUGGUGGGGUAAAGGCUCACCAAGCCAACGAUUUGUAGCUGGUCUGAGAGGACGACCAGCCACACUGGGACUGAGACACGGCCCAGACUCCUACGGGAGGCAGCAGUAGGGAAUUUUGGGCAAUGGGCGCAAGCCUGAUCCAGCAAUGCCGCGUGCAGGAAGAAGGCCUUCGGGUUGUAAAAUUCUGUUAUACGGGAAGAAACGGCGCGGGUUAAUACCCGGGGCUAAUGACGGUACCGAAAGAAUAAGCACCGGCUAACUACGUG
rnacentral:rRNA from 1 species